CAUCAACAUCAACACAGGAUCUUCAGAGGCCAAACCCUGCAGCUACUAAAAAUCAAUAUAUUUGUGUCCAUCCAAGCAACACAACUGCAAGAGCAGAGAAAAAUCAGCUUCAAGCAAUUAUCCCUGUUCAUAAAUCUUGGUUCAGGCACAGUAACCUUCCUCAGCUUCAUACAAAGAGGCAAAGUGUGUUGCAGGAGAGUUACAGAGAUCAGCAGCAAGGACUGUGACCAUCACUCACCAGCAGACAUCAGAGCUGCAACGAC